ACCGUACUCCUACGGGAGGCAGCAGUGGGGAAUUUUGGACAAUGGGGGCAACCCUGAUCCAGCAAUGCCGCGUGAGUGAAGAAGGCCUUCGGGUUGUAAAGCUCUUUUGUCAGGGAAGAAACGGUAGUAGCUAAUAUCUAUUACUAAUGACGGUACCUGAAGAAUAAGCACCGGCUAACUACGUGCCAACAGCCGCGGUAAUACGUAGGGUGCAAGCGUUAAUCGGAAUUACUGGGCGUAAAGCGUGCGCAGGCGGUUGUGUAAGUCAGAUGUGAAAUCCCCGGGCUCAACCUGGGAAUUGCAUUAGAGACUGCACGGCUAGAGUGUGUCAGAGGGGGGUAGAAUUCCACAUGAAGCAGUGAAAUGCGUAGAUAUAUGGAGGAAUACCGAUGGCGAAGGCAGCCCCCUGGGAUAACACGGACGCUCAUGCACGAAAGCGUGGGGAGCAAACAGGAUUAGAUACCCUAGUAGCCCUUGAC
rnacentral:rRNA from 1 species